AGGAUCUCGUCUGGAGAUCUGCUCUGCUGGAGUUUUACUACUCCAACGUACUUGGCCAAGCUGCUUUUGCAGAUGCCUCAAAACAAACCCGCAGGGUUCAUGGAUUCAGCCAUCUUCACACUGCAUAACUACGCAUCCAGUCAGAGAGAGGAAUCUCUGCUGUUGCAGCUGUUGCAAACAGCAUUGCAGGAAGAGAUCAAAUGCGCUCUUUCAGCCGUGGUGCCCGUGGUCAGAACGCACUGAGGCAGAUCUUGGCCCCAGUUGUGAAGGAAAUAAUUGAGGACGAAUCGCUCAACGUCAGAACGGAUCCAGUGGAUAUUU